UAUGGCUCAGAUUGAACGCUGGCGGCAGGCCUAACACAUGCAAGUCGAGCGGAAACGAGUUGUCUGAACCUUCGGGGAACGAUAACGGCGUCGAGCGGCGGACGGGUGAGUAAUGCCUAGGAAAUUGCCUUGAUGUGGGGGAUAACCAUUGGAAACGAUGGCUAAUACCGCAUAAUGCCUACGGGCCAAAGAGGGGGACCUUCGGGCCUCUCGCGUCAAGAUAUGCCUAGGUGGGAUUAGCUAGUUGGUGAGGUAAUGGCUCACCAAGGCGACGAUCCCUAGCUGGUCUGAGAGGAUGAUCAGCCACACUGGAACUGAGACACGGUCCAGACUCCUACGGGAGGCAGCAGUGGGGAAUAUUGCACAAUGGGCGAAAGCCUGAUGCAGCCAUGCCGCGUGUAUGAAGAAGGCCUUCGGGUUGUAAAGUACUUUCAGUUGUGAGGAAGGGGGUGUCGUUAAUAGCGGCAUCUCUUGACGUUAGCAACAGAAGAAGCACCGGCUAACUCCGUGC
rnacentral:rRNA from 1 species